GCCAGUGUAGGGUAGUGGUUUGAGUGUUGGACUACAAAUUUGGAGACCAGAGUUAAAUUCCCUGCAUGGCCA